AACGAACGCUGGCGGCGUGCCUAACACAUGCAAGUCGAGCGAGAAAGCCCGCAAGGGUGAGUAAAGCGGCGCACGGGUGCGUAACACGUGGGUAAUCUGCCCUAGAGUCCGGAAUAACUCGCCGAAAGGCGUGCUAAUGCCGGAUGAGACCACGGGAGCCUCGGCUCCUGCGGGAAAAGGUGGCCUCUGUACACAAGCUAUCGCUCUAGGAUGAGCCCGCGGCCCAUCAGCUCGUUGGCGGGGUAACGGCCCACCAAGGCUACGACGGGUAGCUGGUCUGAGAGGACGAUCAGCCACACUGGAACUGAGACACGGUCCAGACUCCUACGGGAGGCAGCAGUGGGGAAUCUUGCGCAAUGGGCGAAAGCCUGACGCAGCAACGCCGCGUGUGUGAUGAAGGUCUUCGGAUCGUAAAGCACUGUCGCGAGGGACGAAUAAGGGGCGGGCUAACAUCCCGUUCCGAUGACGGUACCUCGAGAGGAAGCACCGGCUAACUCUGUGCCAGCAGCCGCGGUAAUACAGAGGGUGCAAGCGUUGUUCGGAAUUAUUGGGCGUAAAGCGCGUGUAGGCGGCCUUGCAAGUUGGGUGUGAAAGCCCUCGGCUUAACCGAGGAAGUGCGCCCAAAACUACGAGGCUUGAGUGCCGGAGAGGGUGGCGGAAUUCCCGGUGUAGAGGUGAAAUUCGUAGAUAUCGGGAGGAACACCAGUGGCGAAGGCGGCCACCUGGACGGUAACUGACGCUGAGACGCGAAAGCGUGGGGAGCAAACAGGAUUAGAUACCCUGGUAGUCCACGCUGUAAACGAUGAGCGCUAGGUGUUGUGGGUGUUGACCCCCGCAGUGCCGCAGCUAACGCAUUAAGCGCUCCGCCUGGGAAGUACGGCCGCAAGGCUA
rnacentral:rRNA from 1 species